CGGGUAAGUAACACGUAUGCAACCUGCCUGCCACAGCCGGAUAAUCGGGAGAAAUUCCGUCUAAUACGGCAUAAUGCAUCGACGGGACAUCCUGUUGGUGCCAAGGGUUGAUUCCGGUGGCGGAUGGGCAUGCGUCGCAUUAGUUAGUUGGCGGUGUAACGGACCACCAAGACGACGAUGCGUGGGGGUUCUGAGAGGAAGGUCCCCCACACUGGUACUGAGACACGGACCAGACUCCUACGGAAGGCAGCAG
rnacentral:rRNA from 1 species